rnacentral:rRNA from 1 species
UACGUAGGGGCCUAGCGUUGUCCGGAUUUAUUGGGCGUAAAGAGCUCGUAGGCGGUUCGGUAAGUCAGGUGUGAAAUCUCCACGCUCAACGUGGAGGCGCCACCUGAAACUGCCGUGACUCGAGUCCGGUAGGGGAGUGUGGAAUUCCCGGUGUAGCGGUGAAAUGCGUAGAGAUGUGGAGGAACACCGAUGGCGAAGGCAGCCUCCUGGGCCAGCAUUGACGCUGAGGAGCGAAAGCUAGGGGAGCAAACGGG